GCUGUGGCUCAGUGGAAGAGCAUUUGUUUUGCAUGCAGAAGGUCCCAGGUUCAAUCCCCAGCAUCUCCA